AUUGAACGCUGGCGGCAUGCCUUACACAUGCAAGUCGAACGGUAACGGGCCUUCGGGUGCCGACGAGUGGCGAACGGGUGAGUAAUGUAUCGGAACGUACCUUUCAGUGGGGGAUAACGUAGCGAAAGUUACGCUAAUACCGCAUAUUCUGUGAGCAGGAAAGCAGGGGAUCGCAAGACCUUGCGCUGAUUGAGCGGCCGAUAUCAGAUUAGCUAGUUGGUGAGGUAAAGGCUCACCAAGGCGACGAUCUGUAGCGGGUCUGAGAGGAGUGAUCCGCCACACUGGAACUGAGACACGGUCCAGACUCCUACGGGAGGCAGCAGUGGGGAAUUUUGGACAAUGGGGGCAACCCUGAUCCAGCCAUGCCGCGUGAGUGAAGAAGGCCUUCGGGUUGUAAAGCUCUUUCGGCCGGGAAGAAAUCGUAUCAGCUAAUACCUGGUGCGGAUGACGGUACCGGCAUAAGAAGCACCGGCUAACUACGUGCCAGCAGCCGCCGUAAAAC
rnacentral:rRNA from 1 species